rnacentral:sRNA from 12 species
CCCUGACAGCUGCGUGGUGCAGCUGACGCAGCCCACGACAGGAGAAUGACAUG